GUCAGCCUCCAUGAAAAAUGUGUGACCUCCAAAAAAUCUAAAUCUAACUGCAAAAUAAGCACACGAGAGUAAUUUUCGUUCUGUAUUUGCCGUUAUUUGUGUUAAUUAUGUUGAUAGCUAUCAAUUCAUUGGUAAUACAUGCUCUAGCAAUCCCUCAAACGACCAUUUCUGGGUGUCCCAAAAUGUUGGGCUUUGGCAGCAUUGCAAUUUGCGUAUAACCAGACAUGUCAACUAACACGAAGGAAAAGUAUUAUCAACGGGUAGGGAAAACCGAGAUCCCCAAUGGAGCUGUGCGUCUAACCUUGCAAGAAGUCUCUAAGCAACAAUGGGAUACAAUAAUGGAGUGGAAGCCUCACUCUGAAAUGUGGCCGUUUAUACAUGGUCCAGGAAUCCUUGGAGGCUUGGCCGUUGUUACCGGGAGUAUAUUCCUCAAACAAUUUAGAAAAUUCUUCACCAUGGGAAGAUCCGGGUUGAUGGCGACCUUCGUACCAACAGUGGGACUCACGGCUGGUGCAGCGAUGUUCCUUCACCAUAAUCAAGUCACGAACGAGCUUAUAACAGGACAGUUGAACUGUGCAACGUGUGCUGAAGUGCGAGCCCUAUUUAUACAAUUAGGAUUUGGUUGCUUGUAUCCCUUAGUAGUGUCCCCUAUUGUUACUAUAGCCAUGGCAAAGAAAAAUAAUAUGUAUGCUAUGCCUCCUUUGACGGACUUUCGACAAGUGUUUGGACUCAUGAGACAGGCUAUGAAGCCAUUGUACCCAUGGAUAGUUGGAUUUGUUGUGCUGCAGUUUGGAGUAACCAUUUAUAUUGUUCGCAAGGAAGGACAAACAUUUGCUAAGAUUAUGAAGAACAGUCCAUUACAGCAUGUUAAAUAGAGAUCACUUAGUUUGCGCUUACGUUGAUCUCACUCAAAUGAUUAACAAACAUUAAUCCCACAAACUGGUAGAAUAUUGGAUAUUUAUAUUUCCCAAAAUAUGAUUGUCUUCAAUAAUUCAAAACGACAUGUGUUUGAUUUAAAGAAAUUGAAGGAACUAACUAACUGUGAGGGCACUUUGUUGAGUAAAAUGAGGCAUUCAAAUUAUGAUGACAAACACAGAAGAAUAAUCAUAUAAGAAUAUUCAGGUUCGAAUAAAUAUGGACUUCAUCAAAUUAUUAUUGACUUAAUGAAUAAGUGGUCGCUCAAUUAUGUCCCUAUUGUUCAAAGAUUUUGUUUAUGUGAUAUUUGCAACAAAAUGUAGUACA